rnacentral:tRNA from 1 species
GAGGGCAUUGCUCAGUGGUAGAGCACAUGUCCAGCUUGCAUGAGGACCUGGGUUCAAUCCCUAGUACCUCCA